rnacentral:rRNA from 1 species
AAAUUGAAGAGUUUGAUCAUGGCUCAGAUUGAACGCUGGCGGCAGGCCUAACACAUGCAAGUCGAACGGUAGCACAGAGAGCUUGCUCUUGGGUGACGAGUGGCGGACGGGUGAGUAAUGUCUGGGAAACUGCCUGAUGGAGGGGGAUAACUACUGGAAACGGUGGCUAAUACCGCAUAAUGUCGCAAGACCAAAGAGGGGGACCUUCGGGCCUCUUGCCAUCAGAUGUGCCCAGAUGGGAUUAGCUUGUUGGUGAGGUAACGGCUCACCAAGGCGACGAUCCCUAGCUGGUCUGAGAGGAUGACCAGCCACACUGGAACUGAGACACGGUCCAGACUCCUACGGGAGGCAGCAGUGGGGAAUAUUGCACAAUGGGCGCAAGCCUGAUGCAGCCAUGCCGCGUGUAUGAAGAAGGCCUUCGGGUUGUAAAGUACUUUCAGCGGGGAGGAAGGUGUUG